GCAGUCGAGCGGACAGAUGGGAGCUUGCUCCCUGAUGUUAGCGGCGGACGGGUGAGUAACACGUGGGUAACCUGCCUGUAAGACUGGGAUAACUCCGGGAAACCGGGGCUAAUACCGGAUGGUUGUUUGAACCGCAUGGUUCAAACAUAAAAGGUGGCUUCGGCUACCACUUACAGAUGGACCCGCGGCGCAUUAGCUAGUUGGUGAGGUAAUGGCUCACCAAGGCAACGAUGCGUAGCCGACCUGAGAGGGUGAUCGGCCACACUGGGACUGAGACACGGCCCAGACUCCUACGGGAGGCAGCAGUAGGGAAUCUUCCGCAAUGGACGAAAGUCUGACGGAGCAACGCCGCGUGAGUGAUGAAGGUUUUCGGAUCGUAAAGCUCUGUUGUUAGGGAAGAACAAGUACCGUUCGAAUAGGGCGGUACCUUGACGGUACCUAACCAGAAAGCCACGGCUAACUACGUGCCAGCAGCCGCGGUAAUACGUAGGUGGCAAGCGUUGUCCGGAAUUAUUGGGCGUAAAGGGCUCGCAGGCGGUUUCUUAAGUCUGAUGUGAAAGCCCCCGGCUCAACCGGGGAGGGUCAUUGGAAACUGGGGAACUUGAGUGCAGAAGAGGAGAGUGGAAUUCCACGUGUAGCGGUGAAAUGCGUAGAGAUGUGGAGGAACACCAGUGGCGAAGGCGACUCUCUGGUCUGUAACUGACGCUGAGGAGCGAAAGCGUGGGGGAGCGAACAGGAUUAGAUACCCUGGUAGUCCACGCCGUAAACGAUGAGUGCUAAGUGUUAGGGGGUUUCCGCCCCUUAGUGCUGCAGCUAACGCAUUAAGCACUCCGCCUGGGGAGUACGGUCGCAAGACUGAACUCAAGGAAUUUGACGGGGGCCCGCACAAGCGGUGGA
rnacentral:rRNA from 1 species